CACCAAUUUCUUCUUGUUUUCAUAACAGAUAUUACAAAACCUAUAUUCCAACAAUUUAUUUCAAAAUUCUAUCUCAUAGACUUUUUUUAUGCAUACAAAAAAAAUAAAAAAAUCACAAAAACACUGAUCUCCGAGGAAAAUUCAAAACGGGAAUUCCUUAAUCAAAUGGCAAAAUCUAACGGAAAACACAUCAAACAAAUGGACAACAACUGUCAUAUUUCUGACUUUGUACAGGCAUUUUCAAAUGUAGAAAAUGGUGUGUUGAACAUGGUUUUACAGCGCUUAACCUCUCACUUGAACGACAGUCACAUCAAAUUCCAUUAAAUUGACAACGUUGCGUGAACAAAACAACGACACAAUAGGGUACAACAGCAACACGAACCCCGCCAAACCGUAGGCCAAUUAAAUUCAAAUACUGUGUUUUCUAUUAAUUUGUAUCUGUUCUAUAUCUGGUCACAAGACUUUUAUUAAAUACUCGCGG
rnacentral:lncRNA from 1 species